rnacentral:lncRNA from 1 species
CUCCGCCUCCCGGGUUCACGCCAUUCUCCCGCCUCAGCCUCCCUCAGCGUCCGGAGUAGCUAGGACUACAGGCGCCCGCUACCACGCCCGGCUAAUUUUUUUGUAGUUUUAGUAGAGACGGGGUUUCACCGUGUUAGCCAGGAUGGUCUCCAUCUCCUGACCUCGUGAUCCGCCCGCCUCGGCCUCCCAAAGCGUUGGGAUUACAGGAGUGAGCCACCGCGCCCGGCCGAUUCUUGAAGAAACUGCUCUCAUAAGCUAAGGUUCCUUAUGAUUCUGCAAGGAAGAGAAGACUAAAGCAAAUCACUGUCUGAAAACAUAACAGCUGGCUAAAGCUGGAGUGCAGUGGCAUGAUCUCGGCUCACUGCAACCUCCGCCUCCCGGGUUCAAGUGAUUCUCCUGCCUCAGCCUCCCAAAUAGCUGUGAUUACAGGUCACAGUGUCCAUGUAACUAACUCCUGGUUAAGAGGAUAUGGAUAGAAGGCACAUGUUCAACUUCUGGCUUCUGUCCUUGAAAAGUGUGAUGAUUCCAUCCUUUGCUGUCUUCCUUCCCGCUGACUGGAAUGUGGACUUGGUAGUGAGCUACCUUGGACUAUGUGGAUGAAGACAAAGAU